CGGCGAGUGAAGCGGCAACAGCUCAGAUUUGAAAUCUGGUCCCCAGGGCCCGAGUUGUAAUCUGUAGAGGAUGUUUCUGGCAAGGCGCCGUCCGAGUUCCCUGGAACGGGACGCCGGAGAGGGUGAGAGCCCCGUACAGGCGGACGCCGAGCCUCUGUGAAACUCCUUCGACGAGUCGAGUAGUUUGGGAAUGCUGCUCAAAGCGGGAGGUAAAUUUCUUCUAAAGCUAAAUAUAGGCCAGAGACCGAUAGCGCACAAGUAGAGUGAUCGAAAGAUGAAAAGCACUUUGAAAAGAGGGUUAAAAAGCACGUGAAAUUGUUGAAAGGGAAGCGCCUGUGACCAGACUCGCGCCCGGCGUAUCAUCCGGCGUUCUCGCCGGUGCACUACGCCGGGCUCGGGCCAGCAUCGGUUCUGGUGGGGGGAUAAAGGCGGCGGGGAUGUGGCUCCCCCGGGAGUGUUAUAGCCCGCCGCUCAAUGCCCUCGCCGGGACCGAGGACCGCGCAAGGAUGCUGGCGUAAUGGUCACCAGCGACCCGUCUUGAAACACGGACCAAGGAGUCAAGCAUUAGGGCGAGUGUUUGGGUGUAAAACCCGCACGCGAAAUGAAAGUGAACGUAGGUGGGAGCCUCGGCGCACCAUCGACCGAUCCUGAUGUCUUCGGAUGGAUUUGAGUAAGAGCCUUAACGCUUGGACCCGAAAGAUGGUGAACUAUGCUUGUGUAGGGUGAAGCCAGAGGAAACUCUGGUGGAGGCUCGCAGCGGUUCUGACGUGCAAAUCGAUCGUCAAACAUGAGCAUGGGGGCGAAAG
rnacentral:rRNA from 1 species